rnacentral:rRNA from 1 species
GGGGAAUCUUCCGCAAUGGACGAAAGUCUGACGGAGCAACGCCGCGUGAGUGAUGACGGCCUUCGGGUUGUAAAGCUCUGUGAUCGGGGACGAAUGGCUGGUAUGCUAAUACCAUAUCAGAGUGACGGUACCCGAAUAGCAAGCCACGGCUAACUACGUGCCAGCAGCCGCGGUAAUACGUAGGUGGCAAGCGUUGUCCGGAAUUAUUGGGCGUAAAGCGCGCGCAGGCGGCUUCUUAAGUCCAUCUUAAAAGUGCGGGGCUUAACCCCGUGAUGGGAUGGAAACUGGGAGGCUGGAGUAUCGGAGAGGAAAGUGGAAUUCCUAGUGUAGCGGUGAAAUGCGUAGAGAUUAGGAAGAACACCGGUGGCGAAGGCGACUUUCUGGACGACAACUGACGCUGAGGCGCGAAAGCGUGGGGAGCAAAC